UACAGAGGGGGCAAGCGUUGUUCGGAAUUACUGGGCGUAAAGGGCGCGUAGGCGGCCGCCUAAGUCAGACGUGAAAUCCCUCGGCUCAACCGGGGAACUGCGUCUGAUACUGGGUGGCUUGAAUCCGGGAGAGGGAUGCGGAAUUCCAGGUGUAGCGGUGAAAUGCGUAGAUAUCAGGAGGAACACCGAUGGCGAAGGCAGCUCGCUGGGACGGUACUGACGCUGAGGCGCGAAAGCGUGGGGAGCAAACAGG
rnacentral:rRNA from 1 species